AUUGAACGCUGGCGGCAGGCUUAACACAUGCAAGUCGAACGAGUGGCGGACGGGUGAGUAGUGCUUGGGAAUCUAGCUUAUGGAGGGGGAUAACUACGGGAAACUUUAGCUAAUACCGCUUACGGUAGGAUGGGCCGACGUGGGAUUAGGUAGUUGGGGAGGUAAAGGCUCACCAAGCCGACGAUGUCUAGCUGGUCUGAGAGGGUGACCAGCCACACUGGGACUGAGACACGGCCCAGACUCCUACGGGAGGCAGCAGUGGGGAAUAUUGCGCAAUGGGGGCAACCUGACCCAGCCACGCCGCGUGAGUGAAGAAGGCCUUCGGGUUGUAAAGUUCUUUCGGUAGCGAGGCGGUAACUAAAGAAGAAGCAACGGCUAACUCCGUGCCAGCAGCCGCGGUAAUAC
rnacentral:rRNA from 1 species